ACCGCGCUCGCCUAGGUGCUUGGGCGCUGCACGCGCUGGAUGCUUAUAGGUGUCCCAGAGAGCCCUUGGGGCCCGCGUGGGUGAAGGGCCUGCUCGAGCCUCGGGAGAGUUGCAUUUCUCCGGAGAAGAGCGGGAAAAGGGCCAGGACAGCCCUCUUUGCUUUGCAGAAUGCUUGAGCAAAAAUCCAUUCCUUGGAGAACCACACUGGCUUCAAGUUACCAACCCUUCACACUUAUUAGGGCCAUCUAGGGGAAACAGCCCUAGAAGAGGCGGCGGCUUUAACGUCAGAACACUUGGAUUCAUUUCCUGUGCUGCUGUUUCCCAGCUGUAACAAGGCUUUAAAUCCUUCCCAGCCUCAUUUUCUUCCUCUGAAAUGGGCACAAUACUGAAAUGAGGAAUCGAGGAGAUACAGUAUGGAAAACAUUUAGGAACGGUCCCUAAAGAGCGGAUGACCCCUAGCAUGAGACUCAGACGAGAAGCGGGGAGAGGAGUCAGAGAGUGAGACAAGAUCCAACUUUGGCAUCUGAAGGUUUUUUGAAGGAGUGGACAUCAGACCAGGGUUUAAAAGAAAGGUGGGUGUUAAGAAAUAGAAAUGGGAGAGGUGGCUGGAAGCAGAAGGGCGUUCUAGGCCGAAAGAACCCAACGAGCAAGGCCCUGGAAGCGAGAAAAUUCGAGUGAGUUCUAGGAAUAACUUGUUUUGUCAGGGGAACCAAUCGGGUCACAAAGCAAGACCGCCUGUGGUGAAGGGGCCAGGUAUGUGAGCUGCCAACACGGUGGGUGCUGUCAGAAUUCCCAGAAGGCCCAGGAUUGCCCAAAGAAAGGCUGCUGCUAGCCAGCAUGGUGCCUUUGUAAGAAUUAUAAAAACGUUCCCUCAGACCGGAGCCCAGCCUGUGUUCCGCCGCCCACCUCUGAUCCUCUGGGGCCCUUGAAGCAAUGAGCAGGCUUUUUAGAACUAUAGGUCUUGGGCCAUCGAGACUAAUGAGAAAGGUAGGGGAAGCUAAGAGCCUUAGCUCCGUGUAUAGUUUGAAUACAGUUUUCUCUCAUCAUACCUACUCAGGAAAGAAAGUCUUCUCGCCCACAGCACAGGUAAUAAUAAUGCCUACUUCAUGGAGUGUUUUCAGUGAGAUGUUAAAUGUAAUUCACGCAGGUCUCUGUUCAGUUAAUGUCACAUUUGUUAACUGAGUUUGUUCUGUGUCCAUCCGUCCCGGAAGUUGGUCCACGAGAUGCUAAACCCUAGCUGCCCAAGCAUCGACCACCUGGAGACAGUGAGGGACAGGGGGAAGUGGAAGGAACAGGGUUCUCUCUGUUCCACCAGUCCACAGACUGCUUCACAGGAACCAAUUCCUGCCUUUGCAUUCACACCAUUGUGGUGACCCAAGUGUGUUCAGAGUCUGAGACCUCGGGGGUUGGGAGAGUCGUGGUUAUUGAGGAGUGGGGUGGGUGAGAAGGCGGGGCUCCGGAGUGCUGACCCAGGAACCCCCUCCUCCACUCCCCUUCCUCGGCUCUGUGACCUCAUCCCGCUGGAAUGUGCUCUCCGUGGAAGAGAGCAGUGAUGCGCAGAGCUCGUCCACCGCUGGCUCUCUGGGGGGCCAUAAUCACAUUCUUGCUGUUUAUACAGUGUCUGGAAGAAGAAUGGGUCACUAAUUUGGAUGAGGAAGCUGUGGCCUCUCCCUUCCCCUGUGCUGUAGCAAGCUAGAAAGACUUCUGAAUGCACUGAAAUUUGGGGCCUUUGAAAGGAGUCCCUGAAGUUCAUCCAUUGGAAUCUUCUUUGGCUUCCGCUCUGACGGCUCUAUGUGACAGCCUCCUGGCCAGUCUUCCUGUCUUUAGUGGCCGGCUAGUUUCAGAAUGGACACCCAGUUCCUCAUGGUGGCCCCCAUGGUCCUCUGCAGCCCUGGUCGCUCCAGUUACUGUGUCCUCCAGUGUCGUGAAACACAAGAGGUUUCUCCCCAUGCUUUGUCUCCUCUCCCUGUGCGCAGGCAGCUUCUCCCUCCCGUGUUGGUCAUUCCCAUUGGCCCUUCUCUGUCUGGACCCCUACCUGCCACUCCUGAGCUGGACCUCUGGCUUCCUGCUGUAUUUGAUCACAGUGAGCUGGACUCAGAGAAGGGAGAAGGACCCUUCCUGCCUGCCCGGGCCACAACCCCAACCUGUGCCGUGUGACCUGGCUCAUCCUGUGUGUGAGAAAGGGCUCCCUCCCCUUGCUCCUCACACCUGAAGGAGGUGACUAUCACCGGCCCCCAGGUACAUCACCUGCUCCUGUGUCUGCCCUCUGCCUCGGUAAUUCUCCCUCGAAGGAGCUGCCAGUUCCUGCCAGGAUCCCAGCUGCCUGAACAGCCCGGGCUGCCCGCUGUGAGCCGCUCGCUGCAAACCCUCCUGCAGGCACAGAUGCACCCUUGAUUGGACCUCCCUCCCCUGAGCCAGUCAGAUUCUGAGCGAUCCAAGCUUCACACGUUUGCAGGACUCCGGGAAGCACUGUUGAAACUGCCGUGCUCCAGGACACACAGCUUACUUAGAACCCAGCCUCUCAUGUGCCCUAGGCCUGUGUGACAGGGUCAGACCGUGUUGGUCCCUGAGGUCACGCGAAGUUGCAUGCGGCAGUGGCCUCAGCACCCUGGACAGCAGAGGGUCAGCACCUAAGAGUCCUGCUGGGGAGAAACACCUGCCCAGACAAGGGGAUGGACAGGCCACAAGGGACACAGGCCCCUGAGGAAGAAGGAGAGCUGCAGGACGACAGCCCAGUGCCCUUGAGUUCUGCCUGUGCUUUCUGUGUCCAUCUGGAAGAUGCUUCUGUAUCUUUGCAAUACGUUUCUCUCUCA